UACGUAGGGUGCGAGCGUUAUUCGGAAUUACUGGGCGUAAAGCGCGCGCAGGCGGUUUGCUAAGACAGAUGUGAAAUCCCCGGGCUCAACCUGGGACCUGCGUUUGUGACGGGCGGGCUGGAGUGCGGAAGAGGGAGGUGGAAUUCCUCGUGUAGCAGUGAAAUGCGUAGAGAUGUGGAGGAACACCGAUGGCGAAGGCAGACUCCUGGGCUAGCACUGACGCUCAGGCACGAAAGCGUGGGGAGCAAACAGG
rnacentral:rRNA from 1 species